rnacentral:rRNA from 1 species
GUCUAAAGGGUCCGUAGCCGGUUUAAUCAGUCUUCUGGGAAAUCUAAUCGCUUAACUAUUAGGCUUCCAGGGGAUACUGUUAGACUUGGGACCGGGAGAGGUAAGAGGUACUGCAGGGGUAGGAGUGAAAUCUUGUAAUCCCUGUGAGACCACCAGUGGCGAAGGCGUCUUACCAGAACGGGUCCGACGGUGAGGGACGAAAGCUGGGGGCACGAACCGGAUUAGAUACCCGGGUAGUCCCAGCUGUAAACGAUGCUCGUUAGGUGUCAGGAACGGUGCGACUGUUUCUGGUGCCGAAGGGAAGCCGUGAAACGAGCCACCUGGGAAGUACGGCCGCAAGGCUGAAACUUAAAGGAAUUGGCGGGGGAGCACUACAACGGGUGGAGCCUGCGGUUUAAUUGGACUCAACGCCGGAAAACUCACCGGGGGCGACAGCAAUAUGUAGGUCAGGUUAAAGGUCUUACCUGAAUCGCUGAGAGGAGGUGCAUGGCCGUCGUCAGUUCGUACUGUGAAGCAUCCUGUUAAGUCAGGCAACGAGCAAGACCCGUGCCCACUGUUACCAGCAUAUCCUUUAUGGAUGAUGGGGACUCUGUGGGGACCGCUGCUGCUAAAGCAGAGGAAGGUGCGGGCUACGGUAGGUCAGUAUGCCCCGAAUCUCCCGGGCUACACGCGGGCUACAAUGGUUGGGACAAUGGGUAUCUACUCCGAAAGGAGUUGGCAAUCUCUUAAACCCAAUCGUAGUUUGAAUUGAGGGCUGUAACUCGCCCUCAUGAAGCUGGAAUCCGUAGUAAUCGCGUUUCAACAUAGCGCGG